rnacentral:lncRNA from 1 species
AAUAAAGUUUGCUUCAUUGUGAAACUAGAGACUGUUAGUAACAAAGAUGGGUAUUAUUUAUCAUGUUUAUAUUGUUUUAUCGUUUUCAUUAUUUGGAAGCAUUUCCACAUCGCUUGAAUAUAACAAGGUAAACAAUAUUUUAUUACAUAAUCUACAAGAAUGCAACUGUUAAUAUAAUGUAAUCACCUCAGUUUAAUUUGUUUUCAAAUUUCCUUUUAUUCUAUGUAUUUGAAACAAAAGAGUAUACGACAGUUGCCACUUUACAUGCACUAAAUUUUACUAAAUUUAGUUCAUUUCUUUGACUAACAAGAAAACACCUGGUAAUAUUUAAGGGGCUCGCGGGUAUAAUUUUUUUUUAAAUAUAGGAUUUCGCUAUUUAUUUUCUAUAAAUGAACUUCAUCAUAUACUUAAUAGAAAAAUAAAUAAAAAAAUGUGGUCACCGUUCAUUUAAGCUCAAAAUUUGCCUUUGAAAGAAGCAUGCAUUUUUGUUAAGCUUUUUUUUCCUUCUGUUUAACAAAUAGGAGAAAUAUAGGUAAUAUUGAAAUAAAGAAAGAACUCAAUUAUAGAAAUCGUCUAAAUUUUACAAUUGUUUAGUUUAAGUAAAUCUUAUUUGAAAAUGUUGAUAAAAAAUAAAGGUCACCAAUCAGUUAAAAAAGACAUUUCAAUUUUAAUGCAAAAAAAUGGCAUUUUUGUACGAAAGGGAGAUAAUUUGAAGCUUUUUAAAUGAUACUAACAUUUUAAAAGUCAUCUGGAGCCAAAACAAAUAGAUUUUUGGGGUUGAUUUUUGUACCAUAUCAUAAAGUAACUAAUAGUACUCCCUUGUCUGCUGGUUUUAAUACAACUUAAUUUCGGUUUUUUAGCGAUUGUAUGACUUUUUUUCUCGUCAGAAGAGGUGUUAUAAAGUUAUAAAACGACGAGUACUUGUUGUUAGCUAGAUGGACAACGUCCGAUUUGAUUUUGUCGAUAACUUCUUCCAGUGUAGCAGAUUUGCUUGGUUUUGGAAUCCAUGAACUCUUCUUUUUGAAGCGCGGAAUUCUGAUUUCUUCCUCCGAGUUAGACUUGUCUGAGUCUUCCUUAUUAUCCUCCUCAUUAUCCUUGUCACCAAAGUAUUUUUUUAAUUCUGAGGGUUCUGGCAAAGUUAUUCAGGUCAUCUUCCAGUUUCAUAUUAUCUAUGUAAUUGGGCGUAGGGCAAAAAUUCAAACCCUUAGAUAAAACUUUAAUUUCUUCCUCAGUUAAAGAGACUGUUGACAAAUUGACAACAGUGUUGUUGGGAUGGACCGGAAUUUUACCUUUUCUUCGAAAUCUACGGAGGCUUUAUAUAUGUUAGCCCUGUACAAUCACGUGUUUUCCGAUGGAGAUUUUGGUACUAUAUACACUUGGGCAUAGCAUUCAGCAUCAUCCACUGGUGAUCCUGCAUGCGGGUCCCUUUUUAUCAACCCUAUUCGACUCUGGAACGAAGAUGACAUGCCAGUUUUGUGCAUGUAUACCAUGUGCGUCUAUUUCUCACCUUUGCCUUGGAUGUGCAUGCACCGUCCCUGUGUUGAAGACCAUAUGUGUAAUGUUUACUUUGAUGGAGAGUUGUCUCAUUGGCACUCUUACCACAACAUCUUCUUAUAUCUAAUUACAUAUAUAUCAAUGACUUAUACAAUUAUAACAAUGUAUGAAUAUAUUAAGCAUAAAGGAUAUACAUGAAAUUUUAGAGGUAGUUAUAAAAGACUUCUUCGUUUGAUUUGAUUUUCCAAACCAUUGAUUGCUGUAUUAUUAUUUACAGAGAUUGCCACCAGUAGCCUUUGACUCGGCCAUUAGUGAGCUCCCCAUAUGAAGUUUGAGUCCAUCACAGUAAAUAAAGGACGACAUAGGACUUAUAUCAAAGCUAACGCUAAAAUGAACAAAAAACAAUAUUUCGACUAUCGUUCUACGUGGUUUGUAGAUAACAUUCCUGUCCAAUUCUUGUAAGUAGUCGUAAUAUAGACAAAAAAAUUUAUUAUCCCGUCAGCCACAUACACUAGAAUAGACAACAAGAGGUCACAUUGAAAAACUGCAUCCACGGUUUGUCAAACUCGAAAUUGAUACAAGUCUAGUAAAAUUGUGUAAUAAAUUCUUAUUAGAGACAACCAAAUAUCUGACGUCAAACAAAUUCUCACACUACAAAAAUAAUAAAAAAAUAAUGAAAUAGAAUCGUCACCCACAGACAAGAUUCCUGGCUUAGAAUAUAUUAAAAUGAACGUGUGACAGGCUUGCACUGGUGUUAUGAGUCAUCAAAUUAAACCUUAAAACGUUUUCCCGACCGGUCAAGGGUUAAAGCACCCUAAUGACAUCUUUAUGACAUCUUAAACAACUCAAAGUAACCAACAUAUAUAUUGAGUGAUUAUUGUUUUUUUUUAAAUGCGUUCGAAUCUUAAGAUAAGUUUUAACAAAACACCGAAACAAGUUACUAAAAACACCGAAACAAUUUAUUACUUUUACAUAACAUCAAAACAAGUUAUUACAAAACACCGAAACAAGUUAUUACAAAAUACCGAAACAAGUUAUUACAAAACACCGAUAAAAGUUACUACAAAACACCGACACAAGUUAUUACAAAACAUCGAAACUAGUCAUUACAAAACAACGAAGGAAAAAAAAGAAGCUGCCCGAUUGUCUUCGGAAGGCAACAUGACUACGUGAAGCACUCGCAAACCCAUACGAUACAGUUACAGGGAAGGUAAUGACGUUGCUAACGUUAUUUGUUAUUUUCGCGACGUCAAACUGUGACAUAUCGGGAAAAGAUGCAUUUUCGACUGAAUUAAUCAUUCAAACUGAUUUAUUUGAAAACGAGUUCAUGGACCCCUAUUUUCAAAACGGCAUUUUGUUUCAUUUUGCAGGGAGAUUAUGGGUGACCCAAAAUUUUAUUAAAACUGUAAAUAGAGGAUUUUUUUUAAUUUUGAUAAACACGCAGUAAAAAAAAUUUUUCCUCAAUUCAUGAACAUUUGAUAAAUAUGAGUUAUUUCUGAAUACAAAGUUGCACAUUUUUUUAGGAUAUUUAUAAAAUACAGAAAUUACCGAUCAUUUAACAAAAAAACAAUUUGUGUUUAUCUUUUAUAACAAAAAAGUUAUGUCUUUCUUUCGAAAAGAAAUUACGGCCACAAAUCUGAAUUUUGAGCAAAUAUACAAAAUGUCGACCUCAUUUUACUCAAAAAGUAGCACAUGAAGGUAUAUAUUUUUUUGCAUAUUUGAUUUAAUCAGGUAAAAAAUAGCCUAUAUGCAAAUUUUCAUGAACUUGUAAAUACAGGAUCAAAACUGUAUCGUAUGCCCUUAAAAAAAGAAUAUUUCAACCGGCCUUAUGAAAAUACCACAAUAUCUGCUUAUAUAGUACGACUAAAAAAAAAAAAUAUCAUAAUAUCAGCAAUGUUUGUUUUAAUAAAGAGUUAAAUAUAUUUCCUACAUCUAUAUAUUAACACCGACAUAUUUGCUUUGAUAUAAUAUUCAAGAGUAAUCUUUUCUAUUGUAGUUUACAUUAAGAACAAGGAUUUCAUGUCUACUGGGAAUUCAGUGAAAUAUGUUGAUGAUGGCCGUUUGAUUUCAUUCGAUCUAUCAACUUCUUUGACUCCAGCUGAUAUUGCAAACAAAACAUUUAAAAUUA